rnacentral:RNase_P_RNA from 1 species
UGAAACAAAUAGGUGACCGCGCUGUCAUUUAGGGGCAGUGAGGAAAGUCCGAACAUCUAAAAGCAACCCUUCUGAGAAAUCAGAAACUGUGCCUGGUCACAGAUGGAAAGUGUCACAGAAAAUAUACCGCCCGCUUUUGAGCGGGUAAGGGUGAAAAGGUGCGGUAAGAGCGCACCGCUUCGUUCCUGAGGGAGCGCCGUUAAAGGCGUAUUUGCGAAGGCUUGAAAAACCCGGGUUGAUGCAAGACCAAAUAAAGAAGGAUUUCAAUUGCGAAAACGUAUGGCUUUAUACGUGUUCGUAAAAGAACACACUUCAGGGUAGGUCGCUGAAGUUAUCCGGCAACGGAUAAUUAAGAUAAAUGGUCGCCGGCUCUUUCGGGAGUACAGAAUUCGGCUUACUUUUGUUUCAGGUC